rnacentral:rRNA from 1 species
AGGACGAACGCUGGCGGCGUGCUUAACACAUGCAAGUCGAGCGGAAAGGCCACUUCGGUGGUACUCGAGCGGCGAACGGGUGAGUAACACGUGAGUAAUCUGCCCUUCACUUGGGGAUAACCUCUGGAAACGGUGGCUAAUACCCGAUAUGACCAUUCCUCGCAUGAGGUGGUGGUGGAAAGUUUUUUCGGUGGAGGAUGUGCUCGCGGCCUAUCAGCUUGUUGGUGGGGUAAUGGCCUACCAAGGCUUCGACGGGU